UGGAGGAAAGUAGGGGAUCGAAAGACCUUAUGCUUUUGGAGCGGCCGAUGUCUGAUUAGCUAGUUGGUAAGGUAAUGGCUUACCAAGGCAACGAUCAGUAGUUGGUCUGAGAGGACGACCAGCCACACUGGGACUGAGACACGGCCCAGACUCCUACGGGAGGCAGCAGUGGGGAAUUUUGGACAAUGGGCGCAAGCCUGAUCCAGCAAUGCCGCGUGAGUGAAGAAGGCCUUCGGGUUGUAAAGCUCUUUCAGUUGAGAAGAAAAGAUUGUGACUAAUAAUUGCAAUUCAUGACGGUAUCAACAGAAGAAGCACCGGCUAACUACGUGCCAGCAGCCGCGGUAAUACGUAGGGUGCGAGCGUUAAUCGGAAUUACUGGGCGUAAAGGGUGCGCAGGCGGUUCUGUAAGUCAGAUGUGAAAUCCCCGGGCUUAACCUGGGAACUGCGUUGAAACUACAAAGCUAG
rnacentral:rRNA from 1 species